UGGUAGUNCACGCCCUAAACGAUGUCGAUUAGCUGUUGGGCAGCUUGACUGCUUAGUAGCGUAGCUAACGCGUGAAAUCGACCGCCUGGGGAGUACGGUCGCAAGAUUAAAACUCAAAGGAAUUGACGGGGACCCGCACAAGCGGUGGAUGAUGUGGAUUAAUUCGAUGCAACGCGAAGANCCUUACCUGGUCUUGACAUGUACGGAACCUUCCAGAGACGGAAGGGUGCCUUCGGGAGCCGUAACACAGGUGCUGCAUGGCUGUCGUCAGCUCGUGUCGUGAGAUGUUGGGUUAAGUCCCGCAACGAGCGCAACCCUUGUCAUUAGUUGCCAUCAUUCAGUUGGGCACUCUAAUGAGACUGCCGGUGACAAACCGGAGGAAGGUGGGGAUGACGUCAAGUCCUCAUGGCCCUUAUGACCAGGGCUUCACACGUCAUACAAUGGUCGGUACAAAGGGUAGCCAAGCCGCGAGGCGGAGCCAAUCUCAUAAAACCGAUCGUAGUCCGGAUUGCACUCUGCAACUCGAGUGCAUGAAGUCGGAAUCGCUAGUAAUCGCAGGUCAGCAUACUGCGGUGAAUACGUUCCCGGGUCUUGUACACACCGCCCGUCACACCAUGGGAGUGGGGGAUACCAGA
rnacentral:rRNA from 1 species